UUCGGUGGCAAUAGCGAGGAGGUCACACCCGUUCCCGUUCCGAUCACGGAAGUUAAGCUCUUCUGCGCCGAUGGUACUGCCAGGGCGACUUGGUGGGAGAGUAGGUCGUCGCCGAAU
rnacentral:rRNA from 1 species